GGGGAUUUAGCUCAGUGGUAGAGCACUUGCCUAGCAAGCACAAGGCCCUGGGUUCGGUCCCCAGCCCCG
rfam:Rattus norvegicus chromosome 1, whole genome shotgun sequence.